AUUGAACGCUGGCGGCAGGCCUAACACAUGCAAGUCGAGCGGGAUUUACCUUCGGGUAAUGAGAGCGGCGGACGGGUGAGUAAUGCUUGGGAAUCUACCUAGUAGUGGGGGACAACAGUUGGAAACGACUGCUAAUACCGCAUACGCCCUACGGGGGAAAGGGGGGGAUCUUCGGACCUCUUGCUAUUAGAUGAGCCCAAGUCGGAUUAGCUAGUUGGUGGGGUAAAGGCCUACCAAGGCGACGAUCCGUAGCUGGUUUGAGAGGAUGAUCAGCCACACUGGGACUGAGACACGGCCCAGACUCCUACGGGAGGCAGCAGUGGGGAAUAUUGGACAAUGGGCGCAAGCCUGAUCCAGCCAUGCCGCGUGUGUGAAGAAGGCCCUAGGGUUGUAAAGCACUUUAAGUAGGGAGGAAGGUCUGGUAAUUAAUACUUAUCAGAAUUGACGUUACCUACAGAAUAAGCACCGGCUAACUCCGUGCCAGCAGCCCGCUGUAA
rnacentral:rRNA from 1 species